CCUUCGAUAGCUCAGCUGGUAGAGCGGAGGACUGUAGAGGCAUUGCUUCAGCGUGGAAAUCCUUAGGUCGCUGGUUCGAUUCCGGCUCGAAGGA
rnacentral:tRNA from 1 species